rnacentral:rRNA from 1 species
AAUCAACGCUGGCGGCGUGCCUCAGACAUGCAAGUCGAACGCGAAAGUUUCCUUCGGGGGAUGAGUAGAGUGGCGCACGGGUGAGUAACACGUAGGUAAUCUACCUUUAGAUGGGGAAUAACAAUCGGAAACGGUUGCUAAUACCGCAUAAUGCAGCGGCACCUAAUGGUGACAGUUGUUAAAGCGGGGAUCGAAGACCUCGCGUCUGAAGAGGAGCCUGCGGCGGAUUAGCUAGUUGGUAAGGUAACGGCUUACCAAGGCGACGAUCCGUAGCCGGCCUGAGAGGGCGGUCGGCCACACUGACACUGACAUACGGGUCAGGCUCCUACGGGAGGCAGCAGUCGGGAA